rnacentral:rRNA from 1 species
GAUAAACGCUGGCGGCGUGCUUUAUGCAUGCAAGUCGAACGGUCUCGAUUUAUCGAGAUAGUGGCGAAUGGGUGAGUAACAGGUAAGUAACCUACCCCUAAGUGGGGAAUAACCUCGGGAAACCGGGGCUAAUACCUCAUGUGGUGGUGGAGGUAAUGCUUCAUCACUAAAGCCUUCGGGUGCUUGGGGAGGGGCUUGCCUCUGAUUAGCUAGUUGGUAGGGUAACGGCUUACCAAGGCGACGAUCGGUAGCUGGUCUGAGAGGAUGGUCAGCCACACUGGGACUGAGACACGGCCCAGACUCCUACGGGAGGCAGCAGCAAGGAAUUUUGUGCAAUGGGCGAAAGCCUGACACAGCAACGCCGCGUGGGGGGUGAAGGCCUUCGGGUCGUAAACCCCUUUUCUCAGGGAAGAAUAAUGACGGUACCUGAGGAAUAAGCCUCGGCUAACUACGUGCCAGCAGCCGCGGUAAUACGUAGGAGGCGAGCGUUAUCCGAAUUUACUGGGCGUAAAGAGGGCGUAGGCGGCCUUUCAAGUCGGAUGUGAAAUUUCCCGGCUUAACCGGGAGGGGUCAUCCGAUACUGUUGGGCUAGAGGGCAGCAAGGGAAGGUAGAAUUCCCGGUGUAGUGGUGAAAUGCGUAGAUAUCGGGAGGAAUACCAGUGGCGAAGGCGGCCUUCUGGGCUGUUUCUGACGCUGAGGCCCGAAAGUGUGGGUAGCGAACAGGAUUAGAUACCCUGGUAGUCCACACCAUAAACGAUGGACACUAGGUAUAGGGAGUAUCGACCCUCUCUGUGCCGAAGCUAACGCCUUAAGUGUCCCGCCUGGGGACUACGGCCGCAAGGCUA